rnacentral:sRNA from 1 species
GUUUUCUGUGUGAUCUUAGGUGAGUUUCUUCCCCACUGUAGUCCUAUUUCUUCAUCUCUGUAGACUCUUAUUUCACUCAGUCCCUCCUGCUGUGUUGGGUCCCCUGAUCUCAGAGGGAAACACUCAGUGCUUUGUGGUGUAGGUAUUUAGCAAUUAGCUCUUCAGGGGGACAAAAAAAGCCCUGUUGUGUAGUUUUGCCAAUUUCCGUAGUGUAAAUACUCCCACCAUGGCUGAUUUCAAGCUCCUUAUGUGAUAUCACUGUAGGCUGGAGUGUAGUGGUGUGAUCUCAGCUCACUACCACCCCCUCCUCCCGGGUUCAAGCAAUUCUUCUGCCACAGCCUCCUGAGUAGCUGGGAUUACAGGCACACACCACCAUGCCCGGCUAAUUUUUGUAUUUUUAGUAGAGACAGGGUUUCACCAUUUUGGCCAGGCUGGUCUCGAACUCCUGACCUUGUGAUUCGCCCG